rnacentral:rRNA from 1 species
GCUCCCGAUAUCAUAUGAGGCUAUGCCUCGAUUAGAUGGUUGGUGAGGUAACGGCUCACCAAGGCGACGAUCCGUAGCUGGUCUGAGAGGAUGAUCAGCCACAUCGGGACUGAGACACGGCCCGAACUCCUACGGGAGGCAGCAGUGGGGAAUAUUGGACAAUGGGGGCAACCCUGAUCCAGCCAUGCCGCGUGUGUGAAGAAGGCCCUCGGGUUGUAAAGCACUUUCAGCGAGGAAGAACGCCUAUCGGUUAAUACCCGGUAGGAAAGACAUCACUCGCAGAAGAAGCACCGGCUAACUCCGUGCCAGCAGCCGCGGUAAUACGGAGGGUGCGAGCGUUAAUCGGAAUUACUGGGCGUAAAGCGCGCGUAGGCGGCGUGAUAAGCCGGUUGUGAAAGCCCCGGGCUCAACCUGGGAACGGCAUCCGGAACUGUCACGCUAGAGUGCAGGAGAGGAAGGUAGAAUUCCCGGUGUAGCGGUGAAAUGCGUAGAGAUCGGGAGGAAUACCAGUGGCGAAGGCGGCCUUCUGGACUGACACUGCCGUUGAGGUGCGAAAGCGUGGGUAGCAAACAGGAUUAGAUUCCCUGGUAGUACACGCCGUAAACGAUGUCGACCAGCCGUUGGGUGCCUUGAGCACUUUGUGGCGAAGUUAACGCGAUAAGUCGACCGCCUGGGGAGUACGGCCGCAAGGUUAAAACUCAAAUGAAUUGACGUGGGCCCGCACAAGCGGUGGAGCAUGUGGUUUAAUUCGAUGCAACGCGAAGAACCUUACCUACCCUUGACAUCCUGCGAACCCGGAAGAGAUUCCGGGGUGCCUUCGGGAACGCAGAGACAGGUGCUGCAUGGCUGUCGUCAGCUCGUGUUGUGAAAUGUUGGGUUAAGUCCCGUAACGAGCGCAACCCUUGUCCUUAUUUGCCAGCGCGUAAUGGCGGGAACUCUAAGGAGACUGCCGGUGACAAACCGGAGGAAGGUGGGGAGGAUGUCAAGUCAUCAUGGGCCUUACGGGUAGGGCUACACACGUGCUACAAUGGCCGGUAGCAAAGGGCGGCGAGCUUUAGAGAGUCAGCGAAUCCCUAAUAGCAGGUGUCAGUCCGGAUCGGAGUCUGCAUCUCCACUCCGGAAGUAGGAAUCGCUCGAAUCA